GGGGCGCCCCCCUGAGGGCGCACCGCGGCGGCGCUGCGCGGGCUUUCGGCUGUGGCCGGUGGCACCCUGGGAGCUCCGGCGCCGGCGGCAAGCCAGAGCGCCGAGCGUGCGGCCUUGUGUGAAAAAUUCGGCCGGAGAAGAGGGGGCUGUGGUCACCUUCGGCCAACAGAACGCGUGCCGGUUUACACAGCCUUCACGUGCAUCCUCGAGAGUGCAGGGCCCCAAGAAGUGGCUCUUCCCCAAUAAGACAGGCAGCCUCACAUCCAGUUCACUUCCCACGAGGACCAGAGACAAAUAUUGGCUGCUGUGGUAUUCCAGGUGCUUAGGCUGCGGUGAUGACUAAGGAGCAAUUUCUGUCCUGAAUAAAUUAACAGUCUCAUGGAGAAGACAAAGUAAAGAAUAAAGUGCUACACAGUGAGGUGUGAAAGGACUCCAAGAAGGGCACUUAACCUAGCCUUAGGGUGUUAGAGAAGGCUUCACACACACAAAAAGGAGGAAUCAUAACCAAUGGAUGGAAGCAUCAUACUCAAAGUAAUAAUGAAAUGAAUUCAUUGUAAUGCAGAACUUUGACACAGCAGGAUGGAGGUAGGACAGAGGAACAAGCACUGAAAGCAGGCAUUUAUUGAGCGCUUCCCUCCUGGAGGGGAAACAACCAUUUCCUACCUGAGGCCGUGGUUAGCUAAUGAGGACAUCUGGAUA